rnacentral:pre_miRNA from 1 species
CUGCUGUGGGGAUGCCAGCUGCAGUGGGGGAGGCACAGUGAGGGCUGCACCCUCCAUGGAACCGGUGGGGGCUGGGAACAGG